rnacentral:rRNA from 1 species
GAUGAACGCUGGCGGCGUGCCUAAUACAUGCAAGUAGAACGCUGAAGGAGGAGCUUGCUCUUCUGGAUGAGUUGCGAACGGGUGAGUAACGCGUAGGUAACCUGCCUGGUAGCGGGGGAUAACUAUUGGAAACGAUAGCUAAUACCGCAUGACAACAGUUAUUGCAUGAUAACUGUUUAAAAGGGGCAACUGCUCCACUACCAGAUGGACCUGCGUUGUAUUAGCUAGUUGGUGAGGUAUCGGCUCACCAAGGCGACGAUACAUAGCCGACCUGAGAGGGUGAUCGGCCACACUGGGACUGAGACACGGCCCAGACUCCUACGGGAGGCAGCAGUAGGGAAUCUUCGGCAAUGGACGGAAGUCUGACCGAGCAACGCCGCGUGAGUGAAGAAGGUUUUCGGAUCGUAAAGCUCUGUUGUAAGAGAAGAACGAGUGUGAGAGUGGAAAGUUCACACUGUGACGGUAUCUUACCAGAAAGGGACGGCUAACUACGUG